rnacentral:rRNA from 1 species
UGCAGUCGACGCUGAGCUGGGUGCUUGCACCUGGUGGAUGAGUGGCGAACGGGUGAGUAAUACGUGAGUGACCUUCCUUGGACUCUGGGAUAAGCCCGGGAAACUGGGUCUAAUACCGGAUACGACCAGUCCUCGCAUGGGGUGCUGGUGGAAAGGGUUUGUACUGGUUCUUGAUGGGCUCACGUCCUAUCAGCUUGUUGGUGAGGUAAUGGCUUACCAAGGCGACGACGGGUAGCCGGCCUGAGAGGGUGACCGGCCACACUGGGACUGAGACACGGCCCAGACUCCUACGGGAGGCAGCAGUGGGGAAUAUUGCACAAUGGGCGCAAGCCUGAUGCAGCGACGCCGCGUGGGGGAUGACGGCCUUCGGGUUGUAAACCUCUUUCAGCAGGGAAGAAGCGAAAGUGACGGUACCUGCAGAAGAAGCGCCGGCUAACUACGUGCCAGCAGCCGCGGUAAUACGUAGGGCGCAAGCGUUGUCCGGAAUUAUUGGGCGUAAAGAGCUCGUAGGCGGUUUGUCGCGUCUGCUGUGAAAGCCCGGGGCUCAACCCCGGGUGUGCAGUGGGUACGGGCAGGCUGGAGUGCAGUAGGGGAGACUGGAAUUCCUGGUGUAGCGGUGAAAUGCGCAGAUAUCAGGAGGAACACCGAUGGCGAAGGCAGGUCUCUGGGCUGUUACUGACGCUGAGGAGCGAAAGCAUGGGGAGCGAACAGGAUUAGAUACCCUGGUAGUCCAUGCCGUAAACGUUGGGCACUAGGU